GUGGCCCGUCAAAAAAGUGUAAAAUUGAGAAAAAGAAAGUCACCAAAGUUCAUCCAAAAACAGAAUGCAAAAAUGUAGGCAGAAAUAUUUGUAUUUCAAGCAAUUGUACUCUUAUAUCCGUUCCUGGCCCGGAAGUUUGUCACGAUGAAACACAAACUCAAGUACAAAGUAUUCCUCAAGAAGAAUGUGACCUUGAACCGCAAGAAAAUUGUCGUGUAGAGACUUCCCUUGUUCCAAAACUUACGCCCACGAAGAAAUGUGUGAAUGUCCCCAAGGAAAUUUGUGUCAAUACAAAGAAAAAUCCAAGAGAAAUAAAAAACCUAUAGUUAAACAUUGGUGCUAUGAUCCAUAUGAAGUUAAAAAGCUCAUUUGUAGUCAUAAUAUUUUAUUUAUUUAGUUACCAUCUCCAUAAGAUGAGUUUAUCUUUAUUGUUAUUGAAGAAAUCUGUAUACUGUAUAAUAGAACGAUAGAGAAUAUAUAGAACAACAAAGUUUUUCUUAAGGAGGCUGUUAUGGCAAAAGUUCAGAUCAGCUGUUGUUCGGAGAUCUAUGGUA
rnacentral:lncRNA from 1 species